UACGUAGGUGGCAAGCGUUAUCCGGAUUUAUUGGGCGUAAAGGGAACGCAGGCGGUCUUUUAAGUCUGAUGUGAAAGCCUUCGGCUUAACCGGAGUAGUGCAUUGGAAACUGGGAGACUUGAGUGCAGAAGAGGAGAGUGGAACUCCAUGUGUAGCGGUGAAAUGCGUAGAUAUAUGGAAGAACACCAGUGGCGAAAGCGGCUCUCUGGUCCGUAACUGACGCUGAGGUUCGAAAGCGUGGGUGGCAAACAGG
rnacentral:rRNA from 1 species